rnacentral:rRNA from 1 species
UACGUAGGGUGCGAGCGUUAAUCGGAAUUACUGGGCGUAAAGCGUGCGCAGGCGGCUUUGUAAGUCAGAUGUGAAAGCCCCGGGCUCAACCUGGGAAUGGCAUUUGGGACUGCAAGGCUUGAGUGCGGCAGAGGAGACUGGAAUUCCUGGUGUAGCAGUGAAAUGCGUAGAUAUCAGGAGGAAUACCGAUGGCGAAGGCAGGUCUCUGGGCUGACACUGACGCUCAUGCACGAAAGCGUGGGGAGCAAACAGG